CUAAAUCCUAAUACCCUAAAUUUCACCAUGAUUAUCAAUACAUUGUCCAUUUACAAAGAAAGUGCCAAGAAAAUGAGUUUGGACCAUUUGUUGACUUUGGUCAACAGUUGACUUUUUGGUCAACUUUGACCAAAGUCAACCCUAAAAUUCUGAAGCCCUAAUUUCCCAAACUUGGACAUAAUCCCAUGUUACUUUGCCUUGAUUAAUCAUCCAGUAGACAUGUUGAUUGUGCUUUCACCUUGCU
rnacentral:lncRNA from 1 species